GAUGAACGCUAGCGGCAGGCUUAAUACAUGCAAGUCGAGGGGGAUUUUCGCUUUCGGGCGAAAUGAGACCGGCAAACGGGUGCGGAACACGUACGCAACCUUCCCAUAACUGGUGAAUAGCCCUCCGAAAGGAGGAUUAAUACACCGUAAUAUAAUGAAGUGGCAUCACUUUAUUAUCAUAGCUACGGCGGUUUUGGAUGGGCGUGCGCAUGAUUAGAUAGUUGGCGGGGUAACGGCCCACCAAGUCUACGAUCAUUAACUGGUGUGAGAGCACGACCAGUCACACGGGCACUGAGACACGGGCCCGACUCCUACGGGAGGCAGCAGUAAGGAAUAUUGGUCAAUGGACGCAAGUCUGAACCAGCCAUGCCGCGUGAAGGAUUAAGGCCCUCUGGGUUGUAAACUUCUUUUAUCUGGGACGAAAAAAGGUUAUCUUAACCACUUGACGGUACCAG
rnacentral:rRNA from 1 species